rnacentral:rRNA from 1 species
UACAGAGGUCUCAAGCGUUGUCCGGAGUUACUGGGCGUAAAGAGUGCGUAGGCGGUUUUCUAAGUUUGGUGUGAAAUCUCCCGGCUUAACUGGGAGGGUGCGCCGAAAACUGGAAGGCUUGAGUAUGGGAGAGGUAAGCGGAAUUCCUGGUGUAGCGGUGAAAUGCGUAGAUAUCAGGAGGAACACCUGCGGUGUAGACGGCUUACUGGACCAUAACUGACGCUGAGGCACGAAAGCGUGGGUAGCAAACAGG